CCACACUUGCUAAACUUGUUUAUAAUGAUUCAUCGAUUAUGCAAAUUUUUAGUACUUGUGCUUGGGUUACAAUAUCACAAGAUCAUAGUGUAGAACGCAUUGUUCAAAAUCUUCUAGCUUCCAUUAAACAAAUUUCAAAUGCUGAGAGCGACAUCCCUAUGGAAACCUUAAUUUGCGAGUACCUAAAAGGUCGAAGGUAUCUUAUUGUAAUGGACGACAUGUGGAGUACGAAAGCUUGGGAUGAUGUAAAGAGUUUGUUUCCUGAUGUUGGUAAUGGCAGUAGGAUCAUAGUAACCACAAGGCUGCAUGAUGUAGCUGCUUAUGUCGACUCUUCUAAAUCCAUUCAUACUAUGAGUCUGUUGAAUGCACAUCAUAGUUGGAAUUUGCUAAAGCAGAAGGUGUUCGGAGAUAAAGACAUUCCUAUUGAAUUGGAAGAUAUUGGGAAGAGAAUUGUUCAAAAUUGCGGGGGACUCCCCCUUUCAAUCGUGGUGGUGGCAGGACUCUUAUCUAAGAUUCCGAUUCAUACUCGAUCCUCAUGGAAGCAAAUUGCUGCAAACGGCGGGCAUCUUGAAACAAUAAUUGGUUCGAGUUAUACCCAUUUACCCAAUCACUUGAAGUCGUGUUUUUUAUAUAUGGCUGGCUUUCCAGAAGAUUAUGAGAUUCGUGUUUCAGAACUUAUUCACCUUUGGAUAUCUGAAGGUUUUGUAACAGUUUCAAAUGGAUCUAAAAGCUUGGAAGAGGAGGCAAAAGAUUGUUUGGAAGAUCUUGUCGAGAGAAGUCUUGUUUUGGUCACCAACAGGAAGUUUGAUGGGAAAAUAAAGAGUUGCAGCCUUCAUGAUAUUGUGCGGGAAUUUUGCAUAAGGCAGUCUGCAAAAGAGAAGGUAAUUCUUUCUGUUAUGGAUUACUUACCUACUCCUAUCCUGCGAAAGCAUUUUGUUCCACGUCUCAUAAAAGAUCAUCACAGCAUAAGUGCUAGUUCGUAUGAUCUACAUCUCAAAGACUAUGUGCACAGCUCACACAUAGGCACCAUUAUAUGCAUCCCCAAGAAAGGGUAUAGGUCUGUGGGCUCUGUAGAGAAGUUCAGUUCGUUGAGGGUCCUUCAUGUUUUACGUAGAAGCGACCAUUGGGAUUGGGAGCCAGGUCAAGUGUUCGAUCUAAUUCAUUUAACUUACCUUGCUUCCAACAUUCCCAAUAGUAUUGUUCCUUCAGCCAUAUCAAAGCUUCAUAAUCUUCAGAGUCUAAUUAUUUAUAGAUCUGAGGUUAAUUUGCCCGUGGAGAUUUGGAGGUUGCGACAAUUAAGACAUCUUAUUGCCUUGUCAUUUCAACCCUUACCCUACCCUGAAGAAGAAAACAAUCCCCUUGAUAACUUGCAGAAACUUUCGCUGGCAACGGACUUUGUGUGCAGUAAAAGAAUGGUGGAAAUGAUUCCAAACAUUAAAAAGCUGGGAAUAUGUUACUCCAAGGAGAAGUUUGAUGCAGACGCGGAAUAUUGCCUCGACAAUCUUAAACAACUAUGCAGACUUGAGAAGUUGAGAUUGGAGAAGCAUGUAGAUUUUUCAUCCUGCAGACAACUACUUGAUGAACUGGCAUUGGGGAUGCGUGGAGGUUUUUCUUUCAGACUAGUUGAUAAGAUACUUGGAUGCAUUUCAUUCACUCCAAGAAAACCUCCAACCACUAGACGAGCUGACAAGAUACUUGAAGGUCUAAACUUUCCUUUACAACUGAGAAGGUUAACCUUGAGUCGUUGGAAGCUUCCUUGGAGUGAUAUGACCAUCAUUGGUUCAUUACCUAAUCUUCAAGUGCUUAAACUAAGAAAUUAUGCUUGCAAAGGCGAAUAUUGGCACACAUCUUACAGUGGAUUUCCUGAGCUGAGACUCUUGCUGAUUGACCAAUCAGAUUUGGUUUAUUGGAGAACUGCAGCUCCCCACUUUCCGAAACUCAAGUGCCUAAUGCUUCGUCGGUGUCAUGGUCUAAAUUGGAUUCCAAGUGAAAUUGGAGACAUCCCAACACUUGAAUUGAUUGAGGUGGAUGAGCGGUCCAUGAAUCUUUUACACUCGGCAGAAAAGAUACGGCGUACUGUAAAGGGUCACUUUCAAGUUCGUGUGAAGCGUUCCUGAUAUGCUGCUCAUUCAACUCCAGAGUUUCCAAAUGUUGAUGACGAUGACUUGGCUGACAUGGAUGAUGACUAUAUGCCCGAUGCUGAAGACACACGACAUAAUGAGAACACCGGCUGGUCUUCUCGUACAAGGUCAUUAAAACAAGAGACUACAUCCAUGUGAAUGUGCGGAUUCCAUUUGGCGAUAUUACCAUAAGACCCUGAACGAGGCUUGAUCAAAUCCGACUUCUAAACCACAUCUGUGCCGGAAAGUUUUAGAAACAUAUUCAAGAAGUAGACGGGAACUCUAGACUGGAAUGCAGGAGCUCAGCCUCUCCUGCUCUCUCUCUCUCUCUCUCUCUCUCUCAUUUAUUUGUGGAACUAGAUUCAUUCUUUCCAUGUGAUGCUUUCAGAGAUACUUAGCUGGCUAAUUAGGUUGUUGCAUGUAACUGUUCAACUCAGUAGAUUGUUUUACCCAAUCAUUCUAUAUCUUGUAUUAUAUAUUUAUAUGUAUAUAUUUAUAUAUCUUGUAAUAUCAAAGUUUUAGCGGCAAUUAAGGUUGCUUUACGAUGGUU